rnacentral:rRNA from 1 species
GAUGAACGCUGGCGGCGUGCCUAAUACAUGCAAGUCGAGCGAACGGACGAGACGCUUGCUUCUCUGAUGUUAGCGGCGGACGGGUGAGUAACACGUGUAUAACCUACCUAUAAUACUGGUAUAACUUCGGGAAACCGGCGCUAAUACCGGAUAAUCUUUUGCACCGCAUGGUUCAAAAGUGAAAGACGGUCUUGCUGUCACUUCUCGAUGGAUCCGCGCUGCACUAGCUAGUUGUUAAGGUAACGGCUUACCAAGGCAACGAUGCAUAGCCGACCUGAGAGGGUGAUCGGCCACACUGGAACUGAGACACGGUCCAGACUACUACGGGAGGCAGCAGUAGGGAAUCUUCCGCAAUGGGCGAAAGACUGACGGAGCAACGCCGCGUGAGUGAUGAAGGUCUUCGGAUCGUAAAACUCUGUUAUUAGGGAAGAACAGAUGUGUAAGUAACUGUGCACAGCUUGACGGUACCUAAUCAGAAAGCCACGGCUAACUACGUG